ensembl:lncRNA
AUUUUUUUGUGACUAAUACCUUUUAGUGCAUAAAAACCCUGAAGGAUUUGGCUUGGAUUCCUGUAGAAGUAUAAUAGCCAUGUCAGAUGUAUCCUUUAUUCUUUAAGCAUGUAAUUCAAAAGGUAAAAAUAAUUUGUUGAACGAUGAUCAUCUAUAUCCCAGGUUCAGCUUGUAUUUGCAGUCAUAUUGUAAAGAAACAUGUUUUAGCUUGAGAAAUAUUCCAUGACUGUAACAAUAACAAUAGUUCAAUGUUACUGGAAGACUCCGGGGACCAGAAUUCAUUCGUCUAUGGAACCGUAUUUUGACAUACAAGAACAUCUUCUACGGAAUGGAUUCUUCCAAAGAUGGUGUUCUUUCUUUCAACGAACUUCAAAAUGCAUUAGAGAAAACAGGUUGGGACUUAAAAAGUUCAUGCUUUGCUCUGGUGAACCAUUGUUGAAAAUAUUUUAAUUUUCUUAUUAGGUUAGUAUCUAAUAUUUGCAUGACCUUUAAUAUCGCUGUAAAUAUUACAGCCUGCAUAUUAGCCACCCUCUGUGUCCAGUGACCCAUGAAACUGAACACAGAGGUACUGAUAUAAUAUUGAUAUAUCGAUAUAGCAUGUUCAUUCACACAUUGCAAACUGUAUUUACUGUAUAUCAUGGUUAUUGUACCCUAGGCCUGCAUCUAAAUGAAGACAUCCUGAAUCUCAUGUUGGUGCGGUAUGGUGGUGCUANGUUCCAUCCUUUCAUGCUCCUGAGCUACAUACUCCUGGGUAUUAUGUUUUGGAUUUAUCACAUAUAAACUGUCUUUAUUCUUUUCAUCAGGAAUAUUCCAGAGACUGUGUGAAAAUGGAAAGAUAACUCUUGAUGAGAGUGAGGUAAUCCUUGUGUAAACAUUUUAUAAUUUAUUUUUAUUUAUUUUUUUUUAAUAUUUCCAAACACAUAUACAUACUUAAUAGUUAAUACAUUUACAACCUGCUUCUGUGUAUCUGUGUUUUAGUGGAUAGGACUCACCAUGUACUCAUGAGGGAAUGUCUGCUUGCCAGGAGGUUUGCCAACAAAUGCAAGAAGCAGUGUGAAAAGAAAACAUCAGUUUGGUGAUCAAAAACAAUCAGCGAUUUAGGCAAUCUAAACCUUUUUUUUUCUAUAUCAAACUGAUAAACAAAUUGUGAUUGUUAUACCAUUUCUUGCCCUUUUAUCCCUCUAUUAAAAUGCUUUUCUCUUUUUCUUAAAAUUCAUUUGAUUUUAUAUGAUCAAACUGUUUGUAGUAAUGACAAAAAAAUCUGUCUAUUUUCCCUAUUUGAAAAGUUAUGCAUGUAAUGUAUGUAUUUCUCAUUGUAUACACCUGGAGUCACUGUUGGUGUAAAGAAAAGCAUAUUCAAGCAGAUGCUAUUUUAAUACUAGUUCUGAUGCUAUUGUGAAGUAGGAAUAUUAUAUUAUAUAGGGGACUUUAGGCCACAUGUACUGUAGGUCUACAAUAUAUGGAAGGCUCUAUCUAUUUGUAGUCAUUUUCAUUCAAAUGACAGAUGCUUUGGCUCCUGCAGAACUUUGAAACAUUAUUUACAUGCUAGGAAAUGUGUUUUGGUGUCAGUUUGUGACUAUUGUUUGUCUGAUAUCAGCCACAUUGAUAACAUCCAUACAAAAGAAAAUAUUCAGCUGUCUUUUGAACAUUUCUAAUGUAUACUAUACUCUAUUUUUAGAUAUAAACUAUUGAUUUUAAAAACACUUACAUGAAAAUUGUUCUGCAGUUACAUUUACCUUUGCUCGUGAACAUUUCAUUUGGUCAGUCCUGACAAAGUCAUAAAAUAUUUUUAAAAUCUCAAAAUUUGCAGAUUUAAACUACUGUAGAUUGUAAAUCUUGCUGUUUUGUUAGUGUUUUAUGAGGGUUGUUUGUAUAAGCGAAAGGCAAAUGUUAGACUGUUACCUACUUUAGCCAGUCUUUCAAGGAGAUCGAGUUUGGAAUGUUGUAAUUCUGGAUCAUGACAUCACAUACUGCAGGUGUGAGGCAUUUGAAUAUUGUUUACACACUGACAUGCUUAACCUUAUGAAGUUGCCUGAAUUCAGGAAAAACAAUCUCUACACAAAGUAAGGGGUGGGAUGAAUGCAAAAUGAAAAUAAAACAGUAUUCCACAGGUGUCAAGCACAAAACCAGACACAGGGAGGAAAAAUAGUCUUUUACCAUAACUUUCUGACCAACCAGAUCCUUGCAGGUGUGAUUAAUAAAAUAGAAGAAUAUGAUUAAUUGAAGAACACUAGAUAAGCUUUAAAACAGUUGUAUCUAUUUUUUUUUUUUAGUUUUAAGUUUUGCUUUAUUGUACUGAUACUUGAGUAUUAUAACACUAAGUAACAGAGACAGGAUAAUAUGAAAGUAUACAGUCACAUCUCAAUUCAGGUAAAUACCUUUAACUUUUUAAAUAUCAAAUGUGAGACCAUUUUUGUUUGUAUAUUUUGAUGAGAGUUCUCCUACCAAUCCUGUCAAGUUCAAGGGUCAGGACUAUCAGAAGCUGAUCCAGAAAAAGAAGAAAUGAGCUGUACACAGAUGAGUUAUUCCCUCCAGACAGCAGCUCUAUUAGCACUCUGAAUAAAGAAGCUGAUCUGGAUUACAAUAAUGUAACAUGGAAGAGACCAUCAUGUAAAUAAUAAUGUUUGAUAAAACAAUUAUGCACAGAUAUUUCACUUCAGGGUUUGUGAUGGAGUGGGGUAUGAGCAGUUAUGAACAAAUGAAUGAAACACAUUUGUUUGUGUCCCGAAUCUCGCUCACGGAAAGUGCUUGAGAAACAGUGUCUCUUCCACGGCUCGGUACGCUUUCAACUAAUUUUUUUAGUCUUGGGCAAUACUGUACGACAUUCACAUUACAUGAUUUUACAGAUUUUUACAAAAAAAAAAAAAAGGGUGAAAGCGCACCACAUUAAAAGAAAUGAUCAUUCAUGGUUUUAUAACCGCUGACCAAAUUCAAAAACAAAACUAAAAUUAAAUCAUCUUUGAGAGCAAGAGGGCCUCCUGGUGUUUUGGGGGACCUACACAGCUUGCGUAUUUUGCGUAUAGGGAUAAUCUGAAGCUAAAAUGAUGUCAAAAAGAUUUGCAUACGCAGGGCAAUAUUUGUGGAAGUGUAAAUAAGACUGUAAGCAUAAAUUAAAUUUGCAUGCACAAGAGAAGCUUUGUAAAGGUGAAAAUCGCGUUUCAAGCAUAAGAAAAAAUAUUUGCAGCAUUUUACUGUUACUCGUAAGUGUAAUUCAUGUAUUGUGAAACUGCAGCUUAAUGCUAACGCAAAAUAAAUAUGAUCUGCAUGCUUCUGACUUCCAUUUUUCCACGCUUUUUUACAUUUGCGAAAAAAAAAAAAAAUGUGCCAAAAGUGUAAAUGCAGAAAAAUGGAAGUCAGAAGGAUGCAGAUUAUAUUUAUUUUGCUAUAGCAUGAAGCUGCAGUUUCACAAUACAUGAAUUACACUUACGAGUAACAGUUAAAUGCUGCAAAUAAUUUUUUCUUAUGCUUGAAACAUGAUUUACACCUUUACAAAGCUUCUCUUGUGCAUGCAAAUUUAAUUUACGCUUACAGUCUUAUAUACAUUUCCAUAAAUAUUAUCCUGCGUAUGCAAAUCUUUUUGACGUCAUUUUACCUUCAUAAGAAUCGGCUCAGUUGUAACGUAGGGAGGGGACAAUGGAGGUGGAGGAUCCAAAUGCAAGGCUUUAUUCUAAAGAGCCUGGUCAAAACCGACAGGGUCAAAAUAUCACAAAACAGUAACAUCCAAGGCACAGGUAAUCCACAAAACAGGCAAAGAUCAGGGUAGGCAGCAAACAAUCAGAAUCAAGGAACCAGUCCAGGGUCAAAAACAUUAAGGCAAGGCAAGAAAACAGGAACUAGAAAAACACAGGGAAAACACUGAAUCUAUGAAAGGCUAGAAACAAGCAUUACUCAGCCAUGUGUGUGUGUUAAAUUGUCCUCCUAAUAGGAAACGGGAGGAGUCUGAGGUUGGUUCCUAGGCAGGGGUUAUAGGAAAUUGAGUCCAGGAUGGAGUGGCAAAGGUUAUGGGAAGGAGUGCCCUCUAGUGGAGCUCAUGGGCACUCCAGGUAGACGCUGUGACAAUCUUACAGUUCUGUCGUUUUGGGAAAUGGAUUGAUGUUGUCAUUGAUGAUCUGCUUCCAACAAUUGAUGACUAGCUCAUUUUUGUGGGUUUGAAAACAUCUAAUGGGUUUUGGCCUACCUUACUGGGGAAAGCUUAAAAGUAGGUGCCAGCAGAUGCUGUGAUAUAAAGACGGAAUUAAUUUACUUUCGUUUCUUGUCUCUAAAAUAUUGAUAUGUGAAACAUAUGCCUGAUCUUAACUUUGAUCUGUCCCUCUUAAUAGAUUUGUAUGUUGUUGUGAGAAGGAACACUGUAACAUCUAUAAACAUUGACAGUGCACAUAACAUCAUAUUCACUACAUUACAUCUUGUCUGUGACAUUGUAGCAUUUACACUGCACCAUAAAAUGGUUUUGGAUUUAUAGGGUGUGCGGAUCUUACGCAGUAGAUGGCGGAUUUAUGCCUUGAAAUGGCCCUGAAAUGUUGGCAAACAUUUUUUUUUUCUGUGCAAAUGAGAAGGAUUUCAGUUUCUCACGAUGACAAAGACUCAGGUGAACUACUGCAAAUAAUUUCAUUGUUAACCAACAUAUAAGACGGGAGUUGGGUGGGGCUUUUUGCAGGUGUAUUAAAAGCAUAAAAUAGGGCAAAUGUGUGUACAAG